CCCUUAGAUGUUCUGGGCCGCACGGGCGCUACACUGACGAUGGCAACGAGUUUUUCCUUCGCCGAAAGGUGUGGGUAAUCUUUUGAAACAUCGUCGUGCUGGGGAUAGAUCAUUGCAAUUUUUGAUCUUGAACGAGGAAUUCCUAGUAAGCGCGAGCCAUCAGCUCGCGUUGAUUACGUCCCUGCCCUUUGUACACACCGCCCGUCGCUACUACCGAUUGAAUGGUUUAGUGAGGACUCCUGAUUGGCGCCGCCGCCCCGGCAACGGAGCAGCGGACUGCCGAAAAGUUGUUCAAACUUGAUCAUUUAGAGGAAGUAAAAGUCGUAACA
rnacentral:rRNA from 1 species